GCUAUCUUGUCGGAGUGCCCAGUGUGCGAACACGGGCUGAGACCGUUAAUUCGGGAUCCGCGGAACCUGAUCAGGUUAAAACCUGCGAAGGGAACAAGAGUAAUCCAGCU
rnacentral:ncRNA from 2 species